UACAGAGGUCUCAAGCGUUGUUCGGAUUCAUUGGGCGUAAAGGGUGCGUAGGUGGCGCCGUAAGUCGGGGUGUGAAAUUUCGGAGCUUAACUCCGAAACUGCAUUCGAUACUGCGGUGCUUGAGGACUGGAGAGGAGACUGGAAUUCAUGGUGUAGCAGUGAAAUGCGUAGAGAUCAUGAGGAAGACCAGUGGCGAAGGCGGGUCUCUGGACAGUUCCUGACACUGAGGCACGAAGGCCAGGGGAGCAAACAGG
rnacentral:rRNA from 1 species